GUGGAUAUCCCAAUUAACUGAAGAAACGUGUCAUCUUUUGGUAGGCUGUGAACAAUGUCAUUAUUCUUAUUGAUCAGUACUUAUUGCGAAGGAUCCAGCUGAUUACUUAAUAGUCGGACAACUUAAUGUGUCAUUGUGCAACCAAAAGGACUCCGCCGAUCUUUGUGUCAACGUCAAAGACCUCUAGAUCCUAUUUCUGCCAUUGUUGGAACCUGCACUACUGACCUCCUCCAUUACCAACGACCAACACUAUGGCACAUAUGAAAGUAAGUUGACAAACUCUAACUCCAUAAUCCAGAUUAUAUACUCACCAAAAUGAGGACUGUGUUCCUCCGAAUUCAGGAAAAAAAAUUGUUGUACAAUUAGCUAUUUACAAAACAAUGGGUAGCUGCCACUUGAUUGUCUGAAAUAGACAGUCAAUUUGUAGUAUGCUUCAAUUCUAAAAGUAACAUUUUUAGCCUGCAGGUUACUUUUGUAAGAAAAUUUCUUUUAAAUUAUUUCUAUCUAGAAGGGAGAAUUCUGCCUUUGGUGAUCAUUAGUUUGAAUGUUAGCAAAUAUAUAUAGAGAUCUAGAUGGAUACGAGUUUUUUUAAUCAUGUAACACUGCGUUCAACUAUAUCUGCUAUUGACUGUAGUACAGUUUUUCUUCUCUUCCUUGACAUACCCAACAUUAACCAGUUUUUCUUGUUUAUGUAAUUUUGUGCUAACGAGAGUAAGAAGAAGAAGACUUAGCUUUGAUUCCAGUUUUUGGUGCUCUUUGUGUUGAUAAAUUUGUUACACUACAGUACUGAUAAUUCGUAUAGCAAUUGUAUUACCAGACAAGCGG